CCCGAGUUGGGCUCUUCUGACCGGGUUACACUGGGGUACAGUUAUGCUGCCUUGCUUGCUAGGAUUGCUGGAUAUACAGACACAGCUUGAUUAGGGAUGCUAACUUUCUAAUUGCAUAAAACCCAAUACUCUUCUUCUGCCCUGAGGUCCUGCCCCUGCUCACUCCAUCCCCACUCCCUCUAGCUCCAUAAUUUAAGAUUUUUAAGAGCAGGUUAGACAAACAGCUGUCAGUGACAGCUUUCAGAGUGGUAGCUCUGUUAGGUUGUAUCAGCAAAAAGAAGGAGGAGUCCUUGUGGCACCUUAGAGACUAACAAAUGUAUUUGGGCAUAAGUUUUCUGGGGGCAAAACCCACUUCAUCAGAUGUAUGCAGUGGAAAAUACAGAAGGAAGCUCUAUAUGUUACAGAGAAUAUGAAAAAAAUGGGGGUUGUCAUACCAACUAAUUUAAUUUAAUUUGCAGUUUCUCAUUGGAGUCUGUUUUUGAAGUUUUUUUUGUUGAAGAAUUGCCACUUUUAGGUCUGUAAUUGAGUGUCCAGGGAAGUUGAAGUGUUCUCUGACUGAUUUUUGCGUAGAAACUGUCCGGUUUGGACAGUGUACAUGGCAGAGGGGCAUUGCUGGCAUAUGAUGGCAUAUAUCACAUUGGUAGAUGUGCAGGUGAAUGAGCAACUGAUGGUGUGGCUGAUGUGAUUAGGUCCUAUUCAAGGGACAUACCUAUUAAGGGACACCAUCAUAGGACAUCACAUCAGCUACAGCUGCCGCUGCCAUUAUGCAGCACAGAGACCAGGUCAGGCCAGCUCUGCAGCUGCGCUACCCCAGGAGCUCACAGCCCCAUCUGGCGCAUUGUGAGUUGGGGCUGCAGCGGAGAGGGGACAGUGGGGGAGGGACUGAGGGUGAGCCUCCCAGGCCAAGAGUUCAGGGGGUGGGCAGGAUGGUCCCACGGGCCGUAGUUUGCUCAUCCCGGUCUACAUAAUACUUAGUGUUGCAUUGAGUGCAGGGGACUGGACUAGACCUCUCGCUGGAGGUCUUUCCAGUCCUACAAUUCUAUGAUGGGAGUUCACACAUCAGGACUAUUAUUUCAGGCUGCCUGCAGACCAAAGCAGACAACACUUUUGGCAGGCUACCUUUGUUAACCAUGAGGACUAGAAACCUUAUUAAAAAAAUAGUUUAGAUUUGAAAGAAUCUGACUCUGCCCCUUCAUUCACAAAUGUGUCAGAUGGGCAAUGUGUUUGACACGUCUGCUCUGCUUAAGUAUACUUAAGUAAAUAUUAAGUCCUGAUGUCUCCAAGUAACAAAUUGGGGCUUGUUUUAUGUGAUCACAAUUUAUCUUGUGCUCCAGUAUGAUCUUCAGAGAAUGUGGUCAGCAGAAAGUCAAGUCUCUGGAGAAGGCUAGGUGCAUGUUGCAGACAGAGGCUCCUCUGAGAAUGGAACAUGAGGUCCCUUUAGGUUGACCAGACUCCCAAUAUUAGGGCCUUCAUCUUAUAUAGGCAACUAUGCCUCCCUCCAAAAAAGUGUCCCGAUUUUUUUGUACUUGCUAUCUGGUCAUCCUAGGGCCCUUGCAGCAGCAAGAGCUGGGAGGAUGCUGAGAAUGGAAUAAGAAGCCCUCUGUAGGACGGCAGGUAUGAUGCAGAGACUUGGUUUAUUUAUUUUACAAGCACAUCAUAGUGGUAAAGCCAAAAAUACAACUGUAUGCCUGCCUCUUUAGGGGGCAGAGCUGUGGCUCAAGCAAGUAUUUUAAAAAGGGUCUUCACUCUUCCAAGAUUUUGAAAAUGACACCUACUUCAAGCAUUAUGUCCAUUUCUUUUCUAGGAAUGGACAUAAUGGGUGGUGAUACCUGGAUCCUCAAGCACUUAGAGCCAUUCUCUCUGGAAUUAACUUGAUUAUCACACCAAGAUCCAUGGACUACUUUAAGUCUCCCAGAGCACUUUCAAUGACCCAUGGAGCUGCUGCUUCUAUCCUGGUGGAGUAUCUGGAGUCUAGUUGCUGCAGAAGAGAUGUGGGACCAGAAGGGGAAGUGUCCACAAGAAAAUCUCAAUCUUUAAAAAUGUUUCCCAAUAUAAAAAAGUUUGAGAAGAACUGGGUGUCAUAAACAGAUAGUUAAGGGUUAAUGUCUCUUUUACCUGUAAAGGGUUAACAAGCUCAGUGAACCUGGCUGACACCUGACCAAAGGACAAAUCGGGGACAAGAUACUUUCCAAUCUUGGUGGAGGGAAGCCUUUGUUUUGUGCUUUUUGGGGUGUUCUUUGUUCUCUCUUGGGGCUAAGAGAGGCCAGACAUGCAACCAGGUUCCUCCAAUCUUUCUGGAACAGUCUUCCAUGUUCAAAAUAGUAAGUAUUAGCUAGAAAAGGCAGAUUAGAUUUAUGUUUUUCUUUAUUUGCAAAUGUGUAUUUUACUGGAAGGAUUUUUACCUCUGUUUUCUGUAACUUGUAUCUCAUGCUAGGGGGGAGGGAGUCCCUCUGGUCUAUGUAAAGCUGAGACCCUGUAAACAUUUUCCAUCUUGAUUUUACAGAGAUAAUUUUUACUUUUUCUUUCUUUAAUUAAAAGCUUUUCUUUUAAGAACCUGAUUGAUUUUGUCCUUGUGUAAGACCCAAGGGGAUUGGGUCUGAACACACCAGGGAUUGGUGGAGGGAAAGGAGAAAGGGGGAAGGUGAAUUUCUCUCUGUUUUAAGAUUCAAGGAGUUUGAAUCACAGUAAUCUCUCAGGGUAACCCAGGGAGGGGAAAAUCUGGGAGGGGAAAGGUAGGGGAAUGGUUUAUUUCCCCUUGUUUUAAGACUGAAGGGGUUUGGGUCUUGGUCUCCCCAGGGAAGGUUUCGGGGCGACAAGGAGUGCACCAGACACUGAAAUCUCUGGUUGGUGGCAGCGCUAUCAGAUCUAAGCUAGGAAUUAAGUUUAGAGGAGUACAUGCAGGUCCCCACUUUCUGGACGCUAAAGUUCAAAGUGGGAAAGAGACCCUGACACUGGGUUAUACGAUAAACACAUUGAAAACAAUAUUCUGCCUUAUAAAAUUAAAUGUUUUUUUAAUAUGGGACUGAUAUGUAGCUGUUAAGGGAUUUUAGCAAGUGUGGCCCUAGGGAAAAAAAAGUUGUUUUUCUGUGUGAUAAAUUUUAUCCAUUCCUAGCAUCUUCUUUGCUCCUAUUCCUUUUGUUACCCAGCUUCUUGCAUCCGCACUAUACCAUAUAAUCAUUAUUACUGUAUUCUACAGAUGUGGUCUAAACCACAUCUUUCAUUAGUGUCUCUACAAUGUUUUGGGACAUUACUAUAUAGCAUGCAUCUGUGUGAUUUUUCUUGCUAAUUUAAGUGUGCAAGAAUGGUUAUCCUGGUAUACAUCUUGUUUUUGUGUGCUAUUUCAAAGAUCAUACAUCAAAAUAAAAAUAUAUUUGAAAGUGUGAUCUCAUGUACAUGUGAUAAAAUAAAAAUAAGUACUGAGAAUG